rnacentral:rRNA from 1 species
CAAACGACUCUCGGCAACGGAUAUCUCGGCUCACGCAUCGAUGAAGAACGUAGCAAAAUGCGAUACUUGGUGUGAAUUGCAGAAUCCCGUGAACCAUCGAGUUUUUGAACGCAAGUUGCGCCCGAAGCCUUUUGGUCGAGGGCACGUCUGCCUGGGCGUCUCGC